UUUCUCUUAUACGAAAUUAUAAUGUGAAAAGAUUAAUUUUUGAAAAAACUUCAAAUACCACCCAUGUGUUUCGCAUUUUUUUUAUUUUAGUACCAUGUGAUUUAAAGUGUAUCACUUUAAUAUCCCGUGUUUUUAUUUUUCUCUUUUUAUUAUCCCCUCUAUUAUUUUUUUCGUUAAAUCAGUGACAAACUUAAAAUUAAAAGGUACUAAAGUGAAUAUUUGAUAAAUCUAGGUCGGAUAUUUAAAGUUUUUUGUAUAUAAUUUAACGAAAUAUUAACGGAUGAGCUGACGAAAAAAAAAAAUAAAAUAAUAGGAUACUAAAUUGAUACACUUUAAACUAUAGAGUACUAAAUAAAAAAGUGUAAAACUACAAAGAUGGUAUUUAAAGUUUACUCUUAAUUUUUUCUUAUAUGAAAAGAUGAAAAGA
rnacentral:lncRNA from 1 species